rnacentral:rRNA from 1 species
CCUACGGGAGGCAGCAGUGGGGAAUAUUGGACAAUGGGGGGAACCCUGAUCCAGCCAUGCCGCGUGUGUGAAGAAGGCCCUCGGGUUGUAAAGCACUUUCAGUGAGGAAGAACGCCUGGUGGUUAAUACCCAUCAGGAAAGACAUCACUCACAGAAGAAGCACCGGCUAACUCCGUGCCAGCAGCCGCGGUAAUACGGAGGGUGCGAGCGUUAAUCGGAAUUACUGGGCGUAAAGCGCGCGUAGGUGGCUUGAUAAGCCGGUUGUGAAAGCCCCGGGCUCAACCUGGGAACGGCAUCCGGAACUGUCAAGCUAGAGUGCAGGAGAGGGAGGUAGAAUUCCCGGUGUAGCGGUGAAAUGCGUAGAGAUCGGGAGGAAUACCAGUGGCGAAGGCGGCCUUCUGGACUGACACUGACACUGAGGUGCGAAAGCGUGGGUAGCAAACAGGAUUAGAUACCCUAGUAGUC